UACGAAGGGGGCUAGCGUUGCUCGGAUUGACUGGGCGUAAAGGGCGCGUAGGCGGAUAGUACAGUCAGGCGUGAAAUUCCUGGGCUCAACCUGGGGGCUGCGUUUGAUACGUAUUGUUUGGAGUUCGGAAGAGGGUCGUGGAAUUCCCAGUGUAGAGGUGAAAUUCGUAGAUAUUGGGAAGAACACCGGUGGCGAAGGCGGCGACCUGGUCCGAUACUGACGCUGAGGCGCGAAAGCUAGGGGAGCAAACGGG
rnacentral:rRNA from 1 species